ensembl:lncRNA
GGGCUUUGUUCAGGGACCGGGGAUGGCUUGGCCACAGCCCGCCGGGACUGAAAAGCAGCUCGGGGAGAAAAUUCAGGGCAGCACUGGCAGAGGCUGACCACGGCCUGCAACGGGCACGGUGACGGAGGACCCGGCCUCGCCUCUUGGCAGCAGCUGCUUCCCGAGGGCUCGGGGCGGCGUUGCUCCUGGGAGAGGCCCUCCCAGACUGGAAGAAGCUGACCUGCUCUGAGUCGGGAGUGGCCUGUGUGCUGAUUCCUGACCACUUCUGGGAAUUACUGAAGAUGCCUGGAUGGAGGGUGUGUGAGGAUGAGAGGAAGGAUCCCAGCAUCUUUCUCUUAGAGGCCAGUAAGACAGGCAGGCGAGGCGGCAGCCUGCAAGCAGGAGCCCCGGGCAGUCGCUCCAGCCAGGAGCCUGGUGCAGACAAUGGUUCAGCCAGUACCUGCAAUUUCCAGGAAAAUCAAUUUAGAUGACAAAAUCAAAAAGGUGGAAUUGGAGUGAAGAAAAUGGCCCAGAGCUGAGUGUCUUCAAAGGGAACUGGGGCUUUCAGGCAAGGAUUUCAUGUUUUAACAAUUAAAAUAUUUUAUUAGCACCUGUUUGCGGUAUACGAUGUUUACAUUCACCUUAGGGAGUAGAUACAUUUACUGGAUGUAUCUUAAUUCUCUUUGAGCUGCUUUCUGUCCCCUUACCUUUACUGCCCUUUUGUGCCUACAUCCCCUUCCCACAUUUUCAUUUUGUUUAAGUUCGUGUUUGUGACGCAUAGUGACUACAUUCACGGUGCGUGGUUGGUACGUGCACAUGACACAUCCUCAUUACAUCUGCGUCCCUCUGACCUCCUCCUUUCCCCUGCCCUCCAUUCUCUCGCUCCCCUCCCCGUUCAUAAAGGAUCUAUCUUCUCGUUGCCUUUUACCUUUCAUUUUGCUCUGUACUUUAUUUUUUAGUUUUUUGAGACAUGGUCUUGCUGUGUAGUUCAGGCUUGCCUGGAACUCACUAUAGAGCCUAAGCUGGCCUCGAACUUAGGGCGAUCCUUCUG